UCAAAACAGUUUACCACCCUGAGCAUGUGAUCUUGACUGAUCUCGGCUGCUAAGCAGUGUCGGCCCUUUUUUUAAACGACGGAGAAAUUUUCUUUUUUUAAAGGUAUUUUUCUGGA
rnacentral:rRNA from 1 species